rnacentral:rRNA from 1 species
AGAGUUUGAUCCUGGCUCAGGACGAACGCUGGCGGCGCGCCUAACACAUGCAAGUCGAACGAGAGAUGAGGAGCUUGCUCUUCAAAUCGAGUGGCGAACGGGUGAGUAACGCGUGAGGAACCUGCCUCAAAGAGGGGGACAACAGUUGGAAACGACUGCUAAUACCGCAUAAGCCCACAGCUCGGCAUCGAGCAGAGGGAAAAGGAGUGAUCCGCUUUGAGAUGGCCUCGCGUCCGAUUAGCUAGUUGGUGAGGUAACGGCCCACCAAGGCGACGAUCGGUAGCCGGACUGAGAGGUUGAACGGCCACAUUGGGACUGAGACACGGCCCAGACUCCUACGGGAGGCAGCAGUGGGGAAUAUUGCACAAUGGGGGAAACCCUGAUGCAGCGACGCCGCGUGGAGGAAGAAGGUCUUCGGAUUGUAAACUCCUGUUGUUGAGGAAGAUAAUGACGGUACUCAACAAGGAAGUGACGGCUAACUACGUGCCAGCAGCCGCGGUAAAACGUAGGUCACAAGCGUUGUCCGGAAUUACUGGGUGUAAAGGGAGCGCAGGCGGGAGAACAAGUUGGAAGUGAAAUCCAUGGGCUCAACCCAUGAACUGCUUUCAAAACUGUUUUUCUUGAGUAGUGCAGAGUAGGCGGAAUUCCCGGUGUAGCGGUGGAAUGCGUAGAUAUCGGGAGGAACACCAGUGGCGAAGGCGGCCUACUGGGCACCAACUGACGCUGAGGCUCGAAAGUGUGGGUAGCAAACAGGAUUAGAUACCCUGGUAGUCCACACCGUAAACGAUGAUUACUAGGUGUUGGAGGAUUGACCCCUUCAGUGCCGCAGUUAACACAAUAAGUAAUCCACCUGGGGAGUACGACCGCAAGGUUGAAACUCAAAGGAAUUGACGGGGGCCCGCACAAGCAGUGGAGUAUGUGGUUUAAUUCGACGCAACGCGAAGAACCUUACCAAGUCUUGACAUCCCUUGACGAACAUAGAAAUAUGUUUUCUCUUCGGAGCAAGGAGACAGGUGGUGCAUGGUUGUCGUCAGCUCGUGUCGUGAGAUGUUGGGUCAAGUCCCGCAACGAGCGCAACCCUUAUGGUCAGUUACUACGCAAGAGGACUCUGGCCAGACUGCCGUUGACAAAACGGAGGAAGGUGGGGAUGACGUCAAAUCAUCAUGCCCUUUAUGACUUGGGCUACACACGUACUACAAUGGCGUUAAACAAAGAGAAGCAAGACCGCGAGGUGGAGCAAAACUCAGAAACAACGUCCCAGUUCGGACUGCAGGCUGCAACUCGCCUGCACGAAGUCGGAAUUGCUAGUAAUCGUGGAUCAGCAUGCCACGGUGAAUACGUUCCNCGGGCCAUGUACACACCGCCCGUC